UAGCUUAAAGAGUGCAUUUUAUGUGAAUUUUAUAAUACUUGUUGUUUCUGUUGUUGCCUUAAUUUGAUGUAUUGUUAUUUUAUAUCGGAUUACAGGUGUAUUUCUCGUUCCUCAUUGUUGGCCAUACUCAUGAGGACAUAGACGCUGCGUUCAGCAAAAUUUCAAGAUCACUGAAAAAGAAAUCAGCAGAAACAUUACCAGAUUUACUUCAGUGUAUACCAAAUGUAGAGAGAGUUGGUGAAGCUGAUGAUGUUAAAAGUUGGCUUGGAGAAAACAUUUGUGAUGUAAAAGGAACCAGUGAACCUUUGCAUUACAAAUUUGUUGCCAGUGGUAAUAAUGUCAAAGUUUUUUAUAAAGGUCUCCAACACACAUUCUGGAAAGAAUUAAAUGGAAGAGGAACAUUUUUACGAAAAGUGCCUAGUGGAAAUCCCAAACCUCUGAAGCCAGGCUAUUCAAAGUUUGACCUCAAUAUAGAAAAAUUAAAAAAACUAGUGUCUUCAGUAGAGGGACUUUUUCUCAGACAAAGACAAGUUUAAUUGGUGGACUUUAUCCCAAAUGUGAAAACAUAUGCUUUACAAAAUACACCCAAACGAGAAUGGAUAAAUGUCCUUCCAAAGCAGCCUCUUUUUCCCAAAUCCAGGAGUUCUCUGUCUCUGCUUGAUCCAGAUUUGAAAAAGGUACUGGAAAAAGAAUCUGCAGAACCUAAGCUAACUUGUGAAAAGGCAACAUUGAAAGUUUUGAAGUCUAAAAAAAGAAAACUGCAGAAGACGGUGAAAGUCCGGAAAGGCAGUGUUAAGUCAGCAGGAGCACAGGUUAAAAGAAAACAACAUAAUCAGAAACAGACACAAGGGAAGUCGAAGAACAAAAAAUCAUGGAAAAUUUCAGAAGUCUAACAAAAGAUCAGAAGUGAAACAGAGACAACAGAAUAGAAUGAUGAUCAUUCCUAUUGUAGAUGAUAUCAAGAAGCAUAUCUGGUUGAUAAUCUUCUUUUAUCUUGUAGAUUUGUUUAUUUCUUUCACUGCUUUGUUUCUGUUUUUAUUUCACUUGCUUUAUUUUAUUAAAACUGUUGAUGCAAUUGUACAACAAGUAAAUGUUCUAUGGGAAGUUCUGCUGAGGCAACACAUAGGGUGUCAGUUUGUACAUAGAAAUUCUGCACGAUUUGUGAUAGCAUAAUUUGCCUACCAUUUCGAAGUAGAGUGAACAGUUUUUGCUCAAUAAUUUGAGAACUACUUGACACUGAAUAUUCAUUUUCGGUAUAAUGAUUGGGCAUAUAAAGUAGAUGUGUUUUAUUAACACCUCAUGAUUUAUAGAAUUUUAAAAUAUUUUUGCUAAUACAGCAUGUUACAAUUCUAUACCUAUUUUUCUCUUCUAUUCACAUUUGUACCAUUGAGACACUGGAUUCCAUACUGGAGGAUACAAAAAUCUCUUUGUUGAUUAAAUGAUAAAACUGUUCACUUUUGAUAAAGGAUCACAUAAAUAUCAACAUCAGCAGAUGAUUGACCCAAUAUUUCUGUAAUCUUUCAAAAACACUGUCUUCAUCAGAUUGUCUUUUUUUAAAUGAGGAAAAAAGGUAUAGAGUGAAUAGUAAGUUCACAUUAUCCUGUACAUAAUUGGAUAUAUUUGGACUGUACCAAUCUUAGAAACAUAAUUAUUAGACUUACCUAGCACUUCAUUAAAUGGGUUAUUAUUGAAAUAUAUAUUUCCGCAUUGUACAGAACAAUAUUGAAUAACUUACUAUUGUAUGUUUAUAAUAAGAUGUAUGUUAAAUUGUUAAUUUUAAGAUAACUGAUUAAAUACCAGGACUACGGACCAGUACGCAUUUUAGACAUAAGACCUAUGUUUUAUUACCUGAUUUACAUUAAAAUCUCUUAAGGGUAGUACUCUGGUUUCAGUUGAAUUUUCCUGUCAAUAUUUUAGGUCUAUUUAGAUAGGAUAUUCAAUAUGAAAGUACCUGAAAUGAUUGUAUAGUGUUUUGAAUUGAUAUAAAAGUGGCCAAUCUUAGCAACCUUUUUGCUUAUUUUGUAGUUUAAAUGACUAUCUUGAAGGUCAGAUGGUUAAGGUCCUCUUCAGGUGACUUAGUCCCAUUUGGGCUUCUUUUUUUUUGUAAUUAUUAUACUUCAGUAGCUUUCAUUUUUUAAGGGGUUGUACUGUAUUAUUGGGUGUUUUGGUUACUCUUUGAUACGCAUGAUAGGUAGCAUGAGUUUCUCUAUUAGUACGGCCUGAGAAAGUGACUUUUACAAAAUGUGGUCACAUUAUUCCUUAUACUCAUUCAUCAUGGUUGGUAUCAUGAGUUUCUCUUAUAUUUCGUUUCGAUAAGAGCUAAGUAAAAUGACUUACAAAAAUGUUGCUACAUUAUUUGUUUGUUUAAUCAUCUUGAGAGUUUUAUCUUAUUUGUAUUUAUUUAUGUAAUUGUUGUAUAAGUAAAUGUUGUUCCAUAUUUAGAUAAGUACAUUUUGCUGGGAAAAAUUAUAGUAUUUGGUUAUAACAUGGAAAAUUUAAUAUUUAUGCUCGGGAAGUAAUAAAUUAUUUGAAUGUUUCUUCUCUCAAUGUUUCAGAAUAGUUUUUAACUCACCUGAGCCAAAGCUCAAGUUGAGCUUUUGUGACCACUUGAUGUCCAUCUUACGUUUCAAACAGUUUGUCAACAAUUACUUGUCUGCACGAUUGUGGUUUCAUUUAUGAUUUGAUUUUAACCAAACAUAACUUGUAUUACUAUAGGAUCUUGGUUUCUUUCUUGAAGCCAAUCUGGGUUCCAGAGUCAUGGCCUCUGAAAGGGCAAAAGUUGUCUUGUCUGCAGGAUAGUGGUUUCAUUUAUGACUUGAUUUAACCAAACCUGCACACAACUUGUAUUACCAUAAGAUUUCGGUUCCUUUUUUGAAUCAAUACCAUCCUAUCAUAGGUUCCAAAGUUGCGGCCCCUGGAAGGGAAAAACUUUUUUGGUCUUGUCUGAAUGCUAGGGGUUACACUUAUGAUUUGAUUUUAACCAAACUUGCAGACGCUUGUAGCACAAUAAGACCACAGUUCCUUUCAUGAAUCAGCCAUAUUCUACCAUGGAUUCCAGAGUUAUGGUCCCUGAAAAGACUAACAUUUGCAAUCUUGGUCUUGUCUGCACAAUAGUGGUUUCAAUAUUGUUUUUGCCCUGUCCUUCCAUACGUUCAUAGGGUGGCGGGGCUUAUGGAGUAGACGACCCCUAUUGCUUUUGGGGUCACUCUGUCAAAGGUCAAGCUCACAGGGGCCUGAACAGGGAAAACCAUUUCUG
rnacentral:lncRNA from 1 species